rnacentral:rRNA from 1 species
GACGAACGCUGGCGGCGUGCCUAAUACAUGCAAGUAGAACGCUGAAGGAGGAGCUUGCUUCUCCGGAUGAGUUGCGAACGGGUGAGUAACGCGUAGGUAACCUGCCUGGUAGCGGGGGAUAACUAUUGGAAACGAUAGCUAAUACCGCAUAAGAGUAGAUGUUGCAUGACAUUUACUUAAAAGGUGCAAUUGCAUCACUACCAGAUGGACCUGCGUUGUAUUAGCUAGUUGGUGAGGUAACGGCUCACCAAGGCGACGAUACAUAGCCGACCUGAGAGGGUGAUCGGCCACACUGGGACUGAGACACGGCCCAGACUCCUACGGGAGGCAGCAGUAGGGAAUCUUCGGCAAUGGACGGAAGUCUGACCGAGCAACGCCGCGUGAGUGAAGAAGGUUUUCGGAUCGUAAAGCUCUGUUAUAAGAGAAGAACGAGUGUGAGAGUGGAAAAGUUCACACUGUGACGG